rnacentral:lncRNA from 1 species
GUGUGUUUGUGUGAUCCAAAUGGUAGCUAGCCUAUUUCUUUGAAUUUUUGAUGUAAUUCAACAUAGCCUAUUACAGCCCAUUUGAUAACAUCAACGUGAUGUUUAAAAGUAAAAACAUAUUUGUAUUAUAGCCUACGCUUAUUCUGAACACUUGGAGAGGGGUGUGUGGUCUUGGAUAAUAAUAUUAAUAUUCCAAUGACCCAUAAUUUGGUCAUUAUUAGCAUGAUUAUAGACACUCAGAAAUCCCUCGCAGGCACUUUAUUUGUUCUCAAAGCAGAAGUUUAAGAUACAAGACACGGUGUGUAUUUAUUUUAGGACAUUUUUUUUUACAUGUACCUCAAUACUGUAGGCUACUAGUUUUAAAUAGGAUUACAAUUGGCAUAUUGGUGCGCACCAAGGGCAAGUCGGAUACAUUGCUGCUAUGUAGCAUACUAUUAUUUACCUGGCAAUGCAUUGUUAUUACCAUAUAACAGUAUUAACUAAUAAUAAUAAUAAUAAUAAUAUUAAUUGUAAUUGGUACAUCAGUCAAUAAAAAGACACUAUUUUCGUAAUAAUAUUGCACAAUUUAAUACUGCGAUUACACAAAGAUGUGAACAACGUCAGGGAUUGUGUGGACUUGAUGCGGAUAUGAAUGCCUGAGGUAAACAUACUGUUGUGUCUAUUCCCUUUAAAACAGCACAUGUACACAGCCUCUGAUUUAAAUGAAUCCCAAUUACAUAACGGAAUACUGGUUUAAACUGAAGACAUGUUGAGGUCAACACUUUCUGACGGCUUAAAUCAGAGUGGUUAAGCCCAACACACUAUCUUAGUGCAUUGGAUUUUUGUUUACCACAUACAUUUGUAUCUUUUUUUUCCUCAUCUGGUGGUUUCACAAUAGUUAGCAACAAAGGAAAACGGUUUGGUUUCUUAAUGAAGACAAAAUACCUUUUCUUGUAUAUACGCUUUAUGUAAGUAAUAAAAUAUUACUAUAACAUAAAUAGGAGAAAUGUGACUUUGCAGUCUACAUUUAGCAAUCAACAUACAACCAAUGUAGUAAACAAAACAUAUUGAAAUCCACUGCAACAUAACCAUUAACAGAGCCAAACAAAAAGCUCUAAACACAUUUAGGAAAUAAAUAUAUAUAUAAAUGGUCAGAUUCAUAAAUGAAAUCAUAUUAAAAUAUCUUCUUGGAAUUAGUAAGUGUACAAAACUGCCGAAAAACAAAACAAACAAAAAAAUAUCUCAGAACAAAUACAUGUUUACAUAUUCGACAUAUUUACACAUUGGAAAUAAUCCUGGCAACAUUUUAUUUCAAAUAUUUUUUUGAAGAAAGUUGUUUUUUCCCCGCUGCUUCGAAUAGCACUGUCUGCAGUACGGAAUUGUACUAUAGGCUACUGUCCAUCAGAAUGUACCAGACCCUUGAGAAAUGACACGCAACGCACGAGUAGCCUAAUUAAUCCGUUUUUCCUUUCUUCUCCAUAUCAGAAAAAUAUCUAAAACAGGUCCCUUCAUCACUUUUCAUUAGAGACAUUUCUGAAUUUCACCGUAUAUAGUGGUUAUAAGACAAUAAUAGGAAUGGUAUAAAUUAAUGGGGUGUAGCAUAAGCUACCUUUCAAAUCAAUAUAGAAGGUGCAGAAUUCGAGUUCUACUUUUUAUUGUGAUAUAAAGAAUGAACAGCGUGACACUUCGACCUGGGGCACUGAAGUUACCUGAGAAUAUCACUUUCAUUUCGUAUUAAACCAAUCUUUUACUAAAGGUGUGGUUGGAAUAGCUUGGCAGUUAGCAAUGCAAGUUGCUGACGGCGCCCUGGAGUGAUUUUAGGAACCUGUAAACAUGAAAAUAGGGAGUAAAGGCCUACCUCAAAACAAAUUCUGAAAACAAAACUAAUAUAAAAUUGCAAUGAUAAUUUCAAUGAAAUAAUAAGUGCCCCAUACAAAAGGAAAAUAAUAAUAAAAACAAAUAUCAAAAAACCGACAAGAAACACGUGUUUCAUAAAGAAUUAAUCCAUAUUGCCCUUUUUAGCGUCUGUUGCUAUCUGCAAAGCAUACAUUUUUGAAGGCUGCCAGACGUGAGCUGUCCUGUUGCAUUCAUCAAUUUUGAAAUGCAUCUGACAUUUAAGUGUGGGGAUUUUUGUCAUCAACGGGUGCCAUAAUUUCCAUCAUCUUUUCACAAACUCCUUUGGCCAGGUGACAUUGUGCAAGGGAGGCGUUUUUGAUGAGUUAUAUUACACUAAUAAAAUGAGAGAAACAAUAAAAACAGUCUACAGAACAGAAGUGACACUGAAGUUAAAAUCAAACAUCACAAUUAAUAGAACAAAUAUAAAGAAUAGGCUAAUAUUUAGAAAUAGUGGUUAAUCGGUUUUAAGCCUGAAAAGCAACACGUUCAUUGUGUGUGUCUCCUUUGUUGAUCAUUUUCAGGCAACCACAUCGCACUGUGGUGAGCGCCAUCAGUUCAAGACACCACUUGCAACAUUUAAUCGUUUCCCUUUGAACAGCCACGAAACAUCGAAUUUACUUCAUCUCCUCCAUAGAAUUUUGGUAAAUAAAGAUAUUUGUUUCAUUUAAAAUGUGAACGAAAUCAAUUCAGUAAUAGUGUAUGUUUUUCUUUUCAACCAUUUUCCAUUCUACCUAUUUGUUGUUGUAACACAAGCUCCGGUUACUGGGACAAAACUCAUCUGUCUGUCCAACUUUGCCAUGUCUCUGUUCUCUCUCAGUAAAACCAAAUGAAAUACUGUAAACUCCAUAGUCCUUUCCCUUUUUUUUCUUGUUUCCCCCGAAAUUGUAGGAUUGUUCAUGAAAACAGUCACUGCACAGGACUCUGUAAUGUGUGGUGAAGAGGGGGGGUCUCCGCUUGAGAAUAUACGUCCUCCAUAUUCGGAUGAGGGACCCCUAUCGGCGUCAUUCUUUUCUCUUUUUGCCUUCUGUUGCAAAACCAAACACGGACAACCUCUUUUUCCAAUUGAAGAGAGCCGGCUAAACUGGUGAUUUCAUGGGCGGAGGGCUUGGGACAUUUUAAGAAAUGAUUUUCCAGCGCCCCUUUCACACCAACUUCAAUCGAGGUCCUCUUCUUUCGUUUCCUGCCCUGCGCAGCAAUCUUGUCCAAAUUGGUGGGACUGCCAGUGUUUGAGUCUGUCUCCUCCAGCCACUUGUUUAGCAGUGGCUUAAGUUUGCACAUGUUCUUGAAGCUGAGCUGCAGUGCCUCGAACCUGCAGAUAGUGGUCUGAGAAAAGACGUUUCCGUACAGGGUGCCCAAGGCCAAGCCCACGUCCGCCUGUGUAAAGCCCAGUUUGAUCCUUCGCUGUUUGAACUGCUUGGCGAACUGCUCUAGGUCGUCGGAGCUGGGCGCAUCCUCGUCUGAGUGGUCCUGGUGGUGGCUGAACGCCUGCUGUGGGGACUCCAUCUGGUUGUCAUGGCUACCUGUAUCGUCGUGGAGCGGGUCCCGCAUGCUGUGGUGCAGAGAGGCGGGCUGGGGACUUAGCAUGGCGUUGAGGUUCGUGUAUCCCGGCUGCGAGUAAACUAGCGACUGGUGCCCGUUGGAGGUGGGCAGCCACUGGUGGUGCGUCAGGCUCAUCGGAUGUCCCGUGUUGGUCGCCGCUAGCCCCUGCAAGUACUCGUGGUGCAUCAUUUUCUGCACCUCUCUGUAGGUCGUCCCCUGGUGCAUCCUGUCCGAAUCCGGAUGCAUGAGCGGGUUGGACGGUAAGGAGUUAUUCCGCGGAAUAUACUGAGCUGUUGUAGCCAUGGCUCCGACUUCGAAAACUGCCGAGUACUUCGGAGGUCUGGAGGCUUUAGAGCUAAAAACGCAACAACCUGCUCUGG